rnacentral:rRNA from 1 species
GACGAACGCUGGCGGCGUGCUUAACACAUGCAAGUCGAACGAAGUGGCGAACGGGUGAGUAACGCGUAAUCAACCUGCCCUUCAGAGGGGGACAACAGUUUGAAACGACUGCUAAUACCGCAUACUGACGGUGGUGAUUGCGUCUGAUUAGGUAGUUGUAGUGGUAACGGCCCACCAAGGCGAUGCUCAGUAGCCGGUCUGAGAGGAGGAACCGCCACAGUGGGAAUGAGACAAGGCCCAGACCCCGUCGGGAGGCAGCAGUGGGGAAUCUUCCGCAAUGGACGAAAGUCUGACGGAGCAACGCCGCGUGAGUGAUGACGGCCUUCGGGUUGUAAAGCUCUGUUAAUCGGGACGCGGUACCGGAAUAGAAAGCCACGGCUAACUACGUGCCAGCAGCCGCGGUAAUAC